rnacentral:rRNA from 1 species
CUACGGGGGGCUGCAGUGGGGAAUUUUGCGCAAUGGGGGAAACCCUGACGCAGCAAUACCGCGUGAGUGAAGAAGGCCUUUGGGUCGUAAAGCUCUUUUCUUGGGGAAGAUAGUGACGGUACCCAAGGAAUAAGCACCGGCUAACUCCGUGCCAGCAGCCGCGGUAAUACGGAGGGUGCAAGCGUUGUUCGGAUUUACUGGGCGUAAAGGGCACGUAGGCGGCACAGCAAGUUAAGGGAGAAAUCCCGGGGCUCAACUCCGGAACUGCUCUUAAAACUGCUGAGCUAGAGAUAGUCAGAGGCGGGUGGAAUUCCAGGUGUAGAGGUGAAAUUCGUAGAUAUCUGGAGGAACACCGGUGGCGAAGGCGGCCCGCUGGGGCUAUUCUGACGCUAAGGUGCGAAAGCGUGGGGAGCAAACGGGAUUAGAUACCCUCGUAGUC